GGUGGCUCAGUGGCAGAGCACUUGCCUUGCAUGUAUGAGGCCCUGGGUUCAAUUCCUCAGCACCA
rnacentral:tRNA from 1 species